rnacentral:lncRNA from 1 species
CUUCAUCCAAGCACCCAGGGUUUUAUUCACUUAAAACCAAAAUUUUUGCUAAAGCCUAGGUUUGAACCCAGGACUUCUCCAACACUCCCAAACACUCCUAAUCACGUAACCACUGCAAUAGACAAUCAAUUGUGUCAUUUCCUUGCACAAUUAAAUACUUAUAUACAACCUCCUUACGGACCCAUACUCAAGGCCUAAUACUUCUAGGCCCAAAUUCGGGGCGUUACAAUAGAUGACAAAAUUAAGAAGAUAU